AACGAACGCUGGCGGCAUGCCUAACACAUGCAAGUCGAACGAGACCUUCGGGUCUAGUGGCGCACGGGUGCGUAACGCGUGGGAACCUGCCCUUAGGUUCGGAAUAACUCCCCGAAAGGGGUGCUAAUACCGGAUAAUGUCUUCGGACCAAAGAUUUAUCGCCUUUGGAUGUGCCCGCGUUGGAUUAGCUAGUUGGUAGGGUAAAAGCCUACCAAGGCGACGAUCCAUAGCUGGUCUGAGAGGAUGAUCAGCCACACUGGGACUGAGACACGGCCCAGACUCCUACGGGAGGCAGCAGUGGGGAAUAUUGGACCAUGGGCGAAAGCCUGAUCCAGCAAUGCCGCGUGAGUGAUGAAGGCCUUAGGGUUGUAAGGCUCUUUUACCCGGGAUGAUAAUGACAGGACCGGGAGAAUAAGCUCCGGCUAACUCCGUG
rnacentral:rRNA from 1 species